rnacentral:rRNA from 1 species
AGCCCACUCUAGCCCAACCCUCACAGCCAUCGUACACUUAAAAAUUUAUUUAACCAUAAAACUAAAACAUUCUCAUAACUUAGUAUAGGCGAUAGAAAAGACCUACAGGCGCGAUAGAGACUCGUACCGUAAGGGAAAGAUGAAAUAACAAUGAAUAAGCCAAGCAAUAAAUAGCAAAGAUAAACCCUUGUACCUCUUGCAUCAUGAUUUAGCAAGAACAACCAAGCGAAGCGAACUUAAGCUUGCCCCCCCGAAACCUAAGCGAGCUACUCACAAGCAGCUAUUGUUGAGCGAACCCGUCUCUGUUGCAAAAGAGUGGGAUGACUUGUUAGUAGAGGUGAAAAGCCAAUCGAGCUGGGUGAUAGCUGGUUACCUGCGAAACGAAUCUAAGUUCUACCUUGCCACUUUUCCCCUCCAAGACCCUUAAUCUACCAUAAUGUGGACAUGCAAGAGUAAUUUAAAGGGGGUACAGCCCCUUUAAAAAAGAAUACAACCUCUUCUAGCGGAUAACUCCUACCCCAUAAACUACUGUGGGCCUUUAAGCAGCCACCAACAAAGAAUGCGUCAAAGCUCUCAACCCCAUAAAAACUUUAAAACCACACGACUCCCUUCCCACUAGCAGGUCAACCUAUGUCCAUAGGAGAAUUAAUACUAGAAUGAGUAACUAGGGCACAACCCCUCUUAAGCGCAAACUUACAUCCCUACAUUAUUAACAGAUAACUAAUACUUACACUCGAACAAGAUUAUAUAUUUCAUCCCCUGUUAAUCCGACUCAGGAGCGCUCACUAGAAAGAUUAAAAUCCGUAAAAGGAACUCGGCAAACCCAAGGCCCGACUGUUUACCAAAAACAUAGCCUUCAGCCAAACCAAGUAUUGAAGGUGAUGCCUGCCCAGUGACUCCAUGUUCAACGGCCGCGGUAUCCUAACCGUGCGAAGGUAGCGCAAUCAAUUGUCCCAUAAAUCGGGACUUGUAUGAAUGGCUAAACGAGGUCUUAACUGUCUCUUACGGACAAUCAGUGAAAUUGAUCUUCCUGUGCAAAAGCAGGAAUAAGCACAUAAGACGAGAAGACCCUGUGGAACUUGAAAAUCAGCAGCCACCUCUUAACAUAAACCCAACCUAUUAGGCCCACUACAACAAACACUGGCUUGCAUUUUUCGGUUGGGGCGACCUUGGAGAAAAACGUAUCCUCCAAAGAUAAGACCACCCCCUCUUAACCAAGAGCAACCCCUCAACGUACUAACAGUAACCAGACCCAAUACAAUUGACCAAUGGACCAAGCUACCCCAGGGAUAACAGCGCAAUCCCCUCCAAGAGCCCAUAUCGACAAGGGGGUUUACGACCUCGAUGUUGGAUCAGGACAUCCUAAUGGUGCAGCCGCUAUUAAGGGUUCGUUUGUUCAACGAUUAACAGUCCUACGUGAUCUGAGUUCAGACCGGAGUAAUCCAGGUCGGUUUCUAUCUAUGAUUGACUUUUCCUAGUACGAAAGGAUCGGAAAAGUGGAGCCAAUAAUUCAAUAUACGCCCCCUCUCUAAGUAAUGACUUCAACUAAAUUACCAAGAGACCUCACACACCAAAUCCUAGAAAAGGAUC